rnacentral:rRNA from 1 species
UAUACGACCGUACCGCAAACCGACACUGGUGCGCGAGAUGAGUAUUCUAAGGCGCUUGAGAGAACUCAGGAGAAGGAACUCGGCAAAUUGACACCGUAACUUCGGAAGAAGGUGUGCCCUAUUAGUGUGUAGUGAACAACGAAGCAUGAAUGGGUUGCAAAAAAUCGGUGGCUGCGACUGUUUAUUAAAAACACAGCACUCUGCAAACACGAAAGUGGACGUAUAGGGUGUGACGCCUGCCCGGUGCUGGAAGAUUAAAUGAUGGGGUGCAAGCUCUUGAUUGAAGUCCCAGUAAACGGCGGCCGUAACUAUAACGGUCCUAAGGUAGCGAAAUUUCUUGUCGGGUAAGUUCCGACCUGCACGAAUGGCGUAACGAUGGCCACACUGUCUCCUCCUGAGACUCAGCGAAGUUGAAAUGUUUGUGAUGAUGCAAUCUCCCCGCGGAAAGACGGAAAGACCCCAUGAACCUUUACUGUAGCUUUGUAUUGGACUUUGAACAGAUCUGUGUAGGAUAGGUGGGAGGCUUUGAAGCAGGGUCGCUAGAUCUUGUGGAGCCAACGUUGAAAUACCACCCUGGUGUGUUUGAGGUUCUAACCUAGGUCCAUUAUCUGGAUCGGGGACAGUGCAUGGUAGGCAGUUUGACUGGGGCGGUCUCCUCCCAAAGCGUAACGGAGGAGUUCGAAGGUACGCUAGUUACGGUCGGACAUCGUGACGAUAGUGCAAUGGCAUAAGCGUGCUUAACUGCGAGACUGACAAGUCGAGCGGAUGCGAAAGCAGGACAUAGUGAUCCGGUGGUUCUGUAUGGAAGGGCCAUCGCUCAACGGAUAAAAGGUACUCUGGGGAUAACAGGCUGAUACCGCCCAAGAGUUCAUAUCGACGGCGGUGUUUGGCACCUCGAUGUCGGCUCAUCUCAUCCUGGGGCUGUAGCCGGUCCCAAGGGUAUGGCUGUUCGCCAUUUAAAGAGGUACGUGAGCUGGGUUUAAAACGUCGUGAGACAGUUUGGUCCCUAUCUUCCGUGGGCGCUGCAGAUUUGAGGAAGCCUGCUCCUAGUACGAGAGGACCGGAGUGGACACACCUCUGGUGUAUCGGUUGUCACGCCAGUGGCAUUGCCGAGUAGCUAAGUGUGGAAGAGAUAACCGCUGAAAGCAUCUAAGCGGGAAACUCGUUUCAAGAUGAGAUCUGCCGGGGCCUUGAGCCCCCCUGAAGAGUCGUUCAAGACCAGGACGUUGAUAGGUCAGGUGUGGAAGUGA